CCAGAGCUCUCUGGUUACUUACCUGAGUGGCUGCUGCCUCCAUGCCUUGAAAUACACAGCGGUUCUGCUGGCUGGAUAACAGUGACUUGUUAGACCCUUGCUCCAGUGAGCAGAAAGACACAUCAAAGGCUGAUUCUUUCCAGGUGGGAGCAAUAGAGCAAAAAUGAUGAUUAAUGGGCUCACAACAAUGCUGUACAUAAAAUAUUCAGUCAAAACCCAAGAGGAGUAUGUCUUAAAAUGGUUCUGAGAAGCAUGUGAAUUGCUAAAAGAAACUUGGGUCUCACAUCAUGGUUCAAGCAAUUACUGUGGAUAUUUUUGCAUACUUGUUUCAGAGAGUUUUGGAGGAAACAUGAAACAACAAAAUAUAUUGAGAGCAAAGGCUUGAAAAGAAAAUACAUUUCCCAGCAAAAGCUAUUUUUCCUCUACAGAAAACUGGAGGGUUUGUUUUCUGAAAGCAAUAUGCCUCUGUACUUGUGUAAGGCAUUUGCAGACAAAGACUUAAAAACAGAUAUAGAAUAUAUUCCUGUCUAUGUAACUUCCUUAUACUUUGUAAAUGCUUCAUUGCCAGGUUUGACUGAAAAAAUGAAUAAAAUAGGAAUAAUUUAUCAUUUUGGGUGUUUACCUGAAUCCUUGAUUUGUUAUGUAAUUGAAAAAUUUUCAUAAACUAUAUUCUAUUGAGUGUAUGUGUAUGUAUAUAUGGUGGGUGAAUGGAUGGUAAUGCAUUUUCUAAGCUGUAUUGGAACUGUUACAGGAAGUGGGGAGAGCUGCUGGGAUCACAGUGAAUUUGUUGUCAUUUAUUGAAGAGUUUGGAUCUGUUAAUCAUUUACUAGCCUUCAGUAUAGAAACAGCAAUGAAUUGGACUGCUUUUUCCCUCCCUGCUUCUGAUAACACGACUGAGACCAUUAUAUAACCAAAUUAAUAUCACAGUUUUGAUGGUGAUUUAUUUCCACUUAGCGGAUCUAGAAAAUUUAGGCUUUUCCAACAUUAUUCAAUACAACCUUCUCCAAGGAAGUUUCUGCUGUUCUUACUGCUUGGAGUAGUAGUCCUGUGAUCAGAACUGCAAAAUUU